rnacentral:rRNA from 1 species
GACGAACGCUGGCGGCGUGCUUAACACAUGCAAGUCGAACGGAGCGCCAUGGAAUGAGGUUUCGGCCAAAGGAAAUGGUUGCUUAGUGGCGGACUGGUGAGUAACGCGUGAGGAACCUGCCUUUCAGAGGGGGACAACAGUUGGAAACGACUGCUAAUACCGCAUGACGCAUGACGGGGGCAUCCCUGACAUGCCAAAGAUUUAUCGCUGAAAGAUGGCCUCGCGUCCGAUUAGAUAGUUGGCGGGGUAACGGCCCACCAAGUCGACGAUCGGUAGCCGGACUGAGAGGUUGGCCGGCCACAUUGGGACUGAGACACGGCCCAAACUCCUACGGGAGGCAGCAGUGGGGAAUAUUGCACAAUGGAGGAAACUCUGAUGCAGCGACGCCGCGUGGAGGAAGAAGGUCUUCGGAUUGUAAACUCCUGUUGUUGAGGAAGAUAAUGACGGUACUCAACAAGGAAGU